rnacentral:misc_RNA from 1 species
GCCGCCGCCGUUACGAAUCACUCCAGCUCCUUGAAAAUAGUACAUCGGCGGAGAAUUCUGAAACAAAAACUUACUUACACCGCUGCUAAAAAUUCCAACAGCCGAUGAUGAGCUUCCUAAGCUUAGAUCUAACGGAAUCGAUUCCACCAUUGCCGGCGCCUUCGCAACCGCAACCGCCGCAGACGACGAUUCAACCGUACUCGUAUCACUCGGACUCCGAAUCACAUCGUCCGGCUGCUGCUGCAUCUGAAAAUUAGUCUUCGCUUUCGCACCUCGAAACUCAAUCGCAGCUUUAUCGUACGCUCUCGCUGCUUCUUCAGCGGUAUCAAACGUACCUAACCAAACACGGCAUUUUUUCCCUGGAUCUCUUAUCUCCGCCGCGUACCUUCCCCAAGGCCUCUUCCGGACGCCUCUGUAAUGCACCUCCUUCACCACCGCCGCCGUCGCCGCCGUCGCCGCCGUCGUACAUUUUGGCUUGGGCGCCAUUUUCAGUUCGCCGUUAACUGGAAAUGGACGAUUAUAUAUAUAUAUGUAUAGAAGUCAUGCUGCUGCUGCUGCUACUGGAGGA